AUAAAUAUGUAUGUAUAUAUAUAUAUAUAUAAAUAUAUGAGUGGUAAAACAAAGCACCAAUAUUUACUGGAAAAUAGCAAUCGAUACAAAUACGACGCUAUUGUACAGUUUUACUGCGUAUAUACUGG